rnacentral:rRNA from 1 species
UCCUUCGGGUGAGUGAAGAAUUGGAAAGCGGCGGACGGGUGAGUAACGCGUGGGUAACCUGCCCUAUACAGGAGGAUAGCAGUUGGAAACGACUAUUAAUACUCCAUAAGCACACACUGCCGCAUGGUAGAGCGUGAAAAGAUUUAUCGGUAUAGGAUGGACCCGCGUUUGAUUAGCUAGUUGGUGAGGUAAUGGCUCACCAAGGCGACGAUCAAUAGCCGACCUGAGAGGGUGAUCGGCCACACUGGGACUGAGACACGGCCCAGACUCC